rnacentral:rRNA from 1 species
UACGGAGGGUGCAAGCGUUGUCCGGAAUCACUGGGCGUAAAGGGCGCGUAGGCGGCUGAGUAAGUCACGUGUGAAACUCCGGGGCUCAACCCCGGAACUGCAUGUGGGACUGCUCGGCUAGAGCACGGUAGAGGCGAGUGGAAUUCCAGGUGUAGCGGUGGAAUGCGUAGAUAUCUGGAAGAACACCCGAGGCGAAGGCGGCUCGCUGGGCCGUUGCUGACGCUGAGGCGCGAAAGCGUGGGGAGCAAACAGG